UCAAGCUCUCUCCUCUCUCUCUCUCUCUCUCGUGAGUUCCAUGCCGGUCACCGCUGCCAAUAGAUCUCGCUUUUCCAUCAACCUCCAACAGCGGAUCCGGCUUCUGUGACUGUCACCUACCACGGGGGAACAUAGGCAAGACUGGUGGCAUGGCAAUACUACGAGGCCGGCGAGGAGUGACGCCGAAUCACGCCGGCGGACGCCGGCUACGCUGUGGUGGGCGUUGGGGGGAGCUGCUCCAGCAAGGUUCCACCAUGAAGGCCACCUACCACGACGGGCCACUGCGCACUGGCGUUGCUCGAUCCGACGACUCCAAGUAGGAGUAACCGGAUCUGAUGGCCGGCCUCCCCAUGCUCCAUCAAUUUCAGGUGUUGGUAUGUUUGUGACAGAGAGCAUCGGUUAUUAUUGUGGAAUGUGUGUGAAAUACAUUGAAACAUGAUUUGAACGACAUGAUUUAUGAAUUGUGGGAUCCAGUGGAAUCAAUUGAUAUAAUUGAGAAGAUGAAUGAAUCAA